rnacentral:rRNA from 1 species
UACGUAGGGGGCGAGCGUUGUCCGGAUUUACUGGGCGUAAAGAGCGCGUAGGCGGAAAUUUAAGCGUGGCCUGAAAGCCCCCGGCUCAACCGGGGAGUGCGGCUGCGAACUGGGUUUCUUGAGGACGAGAGAGGAGAGUGGAAUUCCUGGUGUAGCGGUGAAAUGCGUAGAUAUCAGGAGGAACACCCGAGGCGAAGGCGGCUCUCUGGGUCGUACCUGACGCUGAGGCGCGAAAGCGUGGGGAGCGAACGGG